GUACAGGUAGCCGUAGGGGAACCUGUGGCUGGAUCACCUCCUUUCUAAGGAUGAUGAAGAAGAGGAACUUUCUUUAAAAGAAAAGACUUCUCUUUUUGAUCUGAUUAGACAUAAGGUUUAAACGAAUCCGUUUAAACCACGCAUAUGACGCUAAAUCUUAUUGAGACCUCAGCUCAAAAGAGAGCUCUCUUUUUACAAAGAGUCCUCCCUCUCUUUAUGAGGCCUCUCCCUCAUUAUGAGACAGUGUUCCCAUGAGAGGUUAGCGCUCAUGUGUUUACAAAUAUAAACAGGCUAGCCGCCUUCGUUUCUCUUUCUUCAGAUGAUGAUCCCAAGCCUUCGGGCGAUCUCUUAAAAUAAGCCCUUUGGGACUUUAAGGAAGACACUUUUGUGUUUUAUGAGAUAAUGCCGGGGAAGGUUUUCCGGUUUAUCCCGGAGGGCUUGUAGCUCAGCUGGUUAGAGCGCGCGCUUGAUAAGCGUGAGGUCGGAGGUUCAAGUCCUCCCAGGCCCACCAAUUUUACAUCACUUUUAAGUGCUUAUAGACAUUGUAAGCAGUUAUGAGAGCUUGCUGAUAGAAAUUUUAUGGCGCUUAUCCAUUUGGUUUAAACGAUAUGUGACUUAAGCCAUCUAAAAUUAAAGCAGUUCAAAUGCAUAGAAGUUUCAAUUUUAGACAAUGGAAGUAAAUUUGGACAAUGUGAAUUGAGCAGUAUAAAUUUAGGUUCUGCAAAUUUUGCAAAUCUCUCUUCAAAGAGUUUCGCAUGUUUUAUGCUGUUUUAGGGGCCGUAGCUCAGCUGGGAGAGCACCUGCUUUGCAAGCAGGGGGUCGUCGGUUCGAUCCCGUCCGGCUCCACCAUUUUAGGUCAUCAUCAUUGUUAGAAGAACAGUGUUUGUAGAAGGUUUUCUGACCUUUUGCGUGUUCUAUUGAAAUUGUGAAGAGAAGAUAUAUUCAGACAUGUUGCUUUUGAAAAGUUUGUUCUGAAAGGCAAGAUUUUUCUACAGAGAAAUAGCAAGAGAUAGGCUUGUCGUUAGGUCAACAGAUCUAAAAAAACUGAAAAAAGAAACAAAACUGAAAAAGGCACUUGUGUUGCAAGGGAAUUCUCAAAACCCUUGCCUAUGAUUGGAAGCUUAACCGCGCCACUGAAUAUAUCUCGAGAAGCUGGUCUUUUCUGCUGAUAUUUUUGUUUGUUUUGCGCUUUGUUUUGCACAAGACAAAGAAUGCCGACAAACAUUGAAUGAAU
rnacentral:tRNA from 1 species